GGGGAAUAUUGCACAAUGGGGGAAACCCUGAUGCAGCCAUGCCGCGUGUGUGAAGAAGGCCUUCGGGUUGUAAAGCACUUUCAGUCAGGAGGAAGGUGGUGUAGCUAAUAUCUGCACCAAUUGACGUUACUGACAGAAGAAGCACCGGCUAACUCCGUGCCAGCAGCCGCGGUAAUACGAAGGGGGCUAGCGUUGUUCGGAAUUACUGGGCGUAAAGCGCACGUAGGCGGACAUUUAAGUCAGAGGUGAAAUCCCAGGGCUCAACCCUGGAACUGCCUUUGAUACUGGGUGUCUUGAGUACGAGAGAGGUGAGUGGAAUUCCGAGUGUAGAGGUGAAAUUCGUAGAUAUUCGGAAGAACACCAGUGGCGAAGGCGGCUCACUGGCUCGUAACUGACGCUGAGGUGCGAAAGCGUGGGGAGCAAACA
rnacentral:rRNA from 1 species